rnacentral:rRNA from 1 species
AGAAAAGAACUUACCAAGGAUUCCCCUAGUAACUGCGAGUGAAGCGGGAAAAGCUCAAAUUUAAAAUCUGGCGGUCUUUGGCCGUCCGAGUUGUAAUCUAGAGAAGUAAUGCCCGCGCUGGACCGUGUAUAAGUCUCCUGGAAUGGAGCGUCAUAGAGGGUGAGAAUCCCGUCUCUGACACGGACUCCCAGGGCUUUGUGGUAUGCUCUCAAAGAGUCGAGUUGUUUGGGAAUGCAGCUCAAAAUGGGUGGUAAAUUCCAUCUAAAGCUAAAUAUUGGCGAGAGACCGAUAGCGAACAAGUACCGUGAGGGAAAGAUGAAAAGAACUUUGGAAAGAGAGUUAAACAGUACGUGAAAUUGCUGAAAGGGAAACGCUUGAAGUCAGUCGCGUUGACCAGGGAUCAGCCUUGCUUCUUGCAUGGUGUACUUUCUGGUUGACGGGUCAACAUCAAUUUUGACCGCUGGAAAAAGGUUUGGGGAAUGUGGCAGCUUCGGCUGUGUUAUAGCCCCUUGUUGUAUACAGCGGUUGGGAUUGAGGAACUCAGCACGCCGCAAGGCCGGGUUUCGACCACGUUCGUGCUUAGGAUGUUGGCAUAAUGGCUUUAAGCGACCCGUCUUGAAACACGGACCAAGGAGUCUAACAUGCCUGCGAGUGUUUGGGUGGUAAACCCGAGCGCGUAAUGAAAGUGAAAGUUGAGAUCCCUGUCGUGGGGAGCAUCGACGCCCGGACCAGAACUUUUGGGACGGAUCCGCGGUAGAGCAUGUAUGUUGGGACCCGAAAGAUGGUGAACUAUGCCUGAAUAGGGUGAAGCCAGAGGAAACUCUGGUGGAGGCUCGUAGCGAUUCUGACGUGCAAAUCGAUCGUCAAAUUUGGGUAUAGGGGCGAAAGACUAAUCGAACCUCUA